UCCCUGUCCUCGCUCAGUGGGUUAAGGAGCCCACGUUGCUGUGGCUGUGGUGCAGGCCAACAGCUGUAGCUCCGAUUAGACCCCUAGCCUGGGAACCUCCAUAUACCUCAAGUGUGGCCCUAAAAAGCAAAAAAAAAAAAAAAAGUAAAGAAAACAAAAGCAGAGAGAGAACAGAGGGAGUAGACAUGGGUUUACCAUGUGUGGAGCAAAGACUCAUCACUCUGCUUCCCUACUGCACAUGCGUGUCGCUCUCUGCUUCCCUGUGGACAUGCGUGUCGCUCUCUGCUUCCCUAUGGACAUGCGUGUCACUGCUUCCCUAUGGACAUGCGUGUCUCUCUCUGCUUCCCUAUGGACAUGCGUGUCGCUCUCUGCUUCCUUACUGGACAUGCGUGUCACUCUCUGCUUCCCUAUGGACAUGCGUGUCACUCUCUGCUUCCCUAUGGACAUGCGUG
rnacentral:lncRNA from 1 species